AAAUUGCCAAAAAUACAAUUUUCAAAGUAGCACUUUUCAUGUUUACACUAAAUAUUUUUACCCUCAUCUUUAAUGAAAGGUAAAAGACAUUAAUAACCUUUUGAUUAACUUUGCCAAAUAAAAACAUACGGUUGACUAAUCUAAACUUAAAACAUCAACUCUAAACCCUAUAUCAUCAACUCUAAACUCUAAACCAUGAAACAUCAACUCUAAACCCUAAACCCCGAAACAUCAAUUCUAAACCCUAAACCCUAAACCUUCAAAUCUAAACCCUAAAACAUCAACUCUAAACCCUAAACGUAAACCCUAAACCCUAAUUCUAAACUUAAAACAUCAACUUUAAACCCUAAAUCAUCAACUCUAAACCCUAAACUGUAAAACAUUAACUCUAAACCCUAAACCCCGAAACAUGAACUCUAAACCCUAAACUCUAAAGCUUUAAAUCUAAACCCUAAAAC
rnacentral:lncRNA from 1 species